GGUGAGCAGUCUGAAGACGAUGUGGGUGGGGGUUGUGCUUAAAACUUUCUGCGUGCUCAUGUUGGUGUGUUUGCAAUAGGAGGCUGAAACGGGGGUUGGGGAGGAAGGUGGGGGAUGUUUAAAGUCAUUUCUCUCCCUUGCUUUCCACCACCCCAUCUUUGUGCCCCUCUGCCCCUCAGACUGACUUGGAUUAGUUUAAAAUGCUUCAAAUUAGUUUAUUUUUACAACAAUGACCUUAUCCCAGCAGCUGCUUGCAAGUUUACUGACCAGCAAAAACUCUUUGCUCUCUCCUCCUCGUGGCUUGUUUUGUUCCCAUCCAAUUAUUCAGUUUGUUUGCUGCUCUCUUUAUUUACACUGCAGCUUUUUCAACCUCUCUGUAGAAUAUUUUCCCCAGUGCCUUCAUUACUCUCAGCUCCCAUCAAGUCAUCUUCAGAGAGGGAGAAAAAGCUUGAGACAUUUCCUCUUGCUCUCCUUUCUCUGAAACACCGAGAACUGCCCCCACACCGCCCUGGAUAGUGAAGUUUAUGGGAUCUCCUUUCCUGCAGGUAGCUGGAGAAUCUGAGGAGCAUCUGCUAAGGAAGGUUUAGAGGGGGAGGAGGCAUUCCCCUGUGACGCCUUAAGCAGCCUCCAGCAGGGUAAAAGGGGAGGGAGACCGUCGCCCUUCCCACCAUGUAUAAAGCGUGCUGCUCCCCCCCCCCCCACCGCCACCAUGAGAGCUGAACAUUUAAAGAGCCAUGAGGAUCUUGGGGGGGGGGCCAUUUUAAAAUCUUGUCUCUGGGCCCACUCCAACCUUGCUACGCCCCUGCCCCAAGGGGAUUGGCCAGUUGAGUGAUAUACAAAUUGAAUGAAUGAAUGCUAUUUUAUAUCGCAGAAGUGGUGGGAUUAAAAUGUUUUAACUAAAUAAGACAUAGCAUUCUAAAUGCAUUCAGAUUUGAGGAGCUAGAUGUUUUUUCUUCCUGUCCAAUGGAAUGCUCUGACAUGGCCGAGGCAAUCUGUACCCUUAAUAUGUCACUUGAAGGCCUAUGGCAAUAGAAAAAGGGAUGUACUGGUACACAGAAAACUCCUUGACCUUGAGAUUCUGGUCCUAAGGUUUCCUUAUUCUCCCUAAGGACUCAAGCAGCCUUUGUGACAUCAGAACAGCUGAGUCAAUUGAUGUCUAAAGGACCAUGACAUCAGAGAAUCAUGCAAUAAUAAACAUAGGCCCACCUUGUCCUCAGAAUAGAUCGAAAUGGCAGCACACAGCAGCUGGCAGAGAGAUUAGAGGCCCAGAGCUGUGUGAUUAUUCACUGAUUUAAAAGUGUGUUUAGGAUUAGAGCAUAAUGUAGUUUAAAUCCAGGAGGUCAAGAGCAAAGGACAGCCGAUAAGGAGGUUCAAUGUGCUGUAUUUACCCAAAUCGAAGAUGACUCUGAAUUUAAGAUGACCCCCGUAAGAAGCAGAGGUUUAAAUACAGGUCAUAUCUGCAUUAACUUGAAAGGAAUAGGACUCUGAAUUUAUGAUGACCUUCUGAUUUCAAAUAUCGAAAAACCUGGCAAAAACCUAGUCUUGGAUUCAGGUAAAUACAGUACUCGGUGUCCUUUCUAUUAAUGGGCCUUAAAUAACUCAAUGAAGCUAUUUUCCCAAGCAGCCUAACCCAGGCUAGGGCCACCCAGCCUGGGUUAGGCUGCUCAUGUGGAGCACCAGGAUGCUCCCGAUCCCAGUCACUACCUAGCAUGCCCUUAAUCCCAGUGCCAGGGCCAUGUGUAUGCCUGGGCUGUAUGGACACAGACUGAGCAUACAGCGAGCCGGGCAGCUAGACCGCCCAGCUGAGGGAGGACCCCUCAAUGCACCACGCUCCUGGAUGCUGGAGGGAUGCCAGAGGACUUCCUCCUCCGGCUCCCUGCUCUGCCACUCACCACGAUGCUGCUCAUGUUUAACGCUGUCCCAUGUCCUGGGCUCAACCCAGUUUACUCAAAAGUAAAUCUCAUUUAUUUACUUUGAAUUUAAUUCCAGGUGACUAUAUUUAGGAUUGCUUGCAACCUCAAAGAUUCAGUGUGCGCAUCCCUCCUGCAAGUACAAACUCUAGGAGGGCUACUAAUAGGAAUGAGGGUCAGCAGCAGGAAACUCCCAUGCAUUGCGCAGCAUGUACAAUGCAAGAGAGGAUGGGAGAUGUGCACUGUUCUCUCUAGGGCAUGUGCAUGUGUGUAUGCUCACACAUUUCCUGAUGUCUGCUCAGUUCAUUUUAGAUCCCACUCAGGUUGAAUCAGGAAGGCCCCAUUCUGAAUGCAUGUGCGUGCACACUGCCUUGAUACUGCCACCCAGGAAAAAACUCAUUCCGCACACAGAUGGGGAAAAAAUAGAGAGAACACUAGAGGUGUGGCAGGGGGUAUUAAUGCAAAAGUUAUCAUCUCAAGUUCACAUAUUGUUUAUUUAACAACACAGCAGUUGGUCACAUUUCAAAUUCAAGAGGAGCUCCUGGUUUAUAGUUUUUAAUGUAAUGUGGUGACCACCAGUUCUUGGCAACUGAGAUUUUGUUUUAGUGUAAUAUAAUAUAAUAUAAUAUAAUAUAAUAUAAUAUAAUAUAAUAUAAUAUAAUAUAAUAUAAUAUGAUAUAAUAUGCAGUGAUAUUUAUAUAUAGUAUUUCAGGAGUACUAUGUAUUAGUAAAAAGUGUAUUAGCCUUGUUUAAAAUAAAUUAAAGUAAAUUAGAGAUGAGAAAUAACUAAAGUUUUAGAAGUCCAAAAGGAGUAACAUGUUUACUUUUUAUCACUUUUAUCCCCAUUUUUUUGUGCAUGCUGACAAUGUCUCAAGAAAAAAAAACCCCACCAAAAUGAUUGAAAAGACUGCACAAAACAAUUCCAAAGUGCUUCAGGCACCCUCCAUUUCCCAGAUGUCAAUUGAUGAAGCUGGAAGUUUAAGCUGGGGCUGAGGGCUGAAUCUGUGGCUGGGACUGGAGUCUAUGCAUCAAGCAGAUGCUCCUGUUCUGUUGACCAGUCAAAAGAAUAAUUUCCCGUAUGGUGAUGCUGGCUGGUUGAAUUCUGAGGAAACGUCAGAAAACAGAAAAUAUGUAACAGACAUGGCCUACAUAUCAACAACUGCUUGUUCCCCAAGGUGCAAAAUAUGAACUUUAAAAACUAGAUUUUUUGUAGGAUUGGAAUAUUUCUUCUUGGUUCCAGUAUCACCAGAUUAGCGCCUUAUUCAAGCAAGAUUAUAAAAAGGGUCUUAAUCAAUCAAAGUCAGAAUUUGAACAACAGUUGUGUGACAAGGAAGACAAACUAGUUUCUAAGAUGUAUGAUCUGUUAUUAUUGGAAGAUACAAGAACAGAAGUAGUGAAAACUUCAAUGAUUAAAUGGGCUCAGGAUUUUGGUUACAAUAUAGACUUGGAGAAAUGGGAAGAACUGUGGAUAGAAGAAAUGAAAUAUACUGCCUGUUCUAAUUUAAAGGAAAAUAAUCUUAAGAUGAUGUACAGAUGGCAUCUAACUCCUAAGAAGUUGGCUUUAAUGUACAAGAAUAUGUCAAACAAAUGUUGGAAGUAUAAAAAAGAGGAGGGUUCCUAUAUACAUUUAUAGUGGACGUAAUAAGUCUAAAGGCUAUCAGGAUUUAAUAUACAAUGAGCUUAAGAAAGUGUUUAAAAUGACUUUCCCUAAGAGCCCAGAAACAAUACUAUUAGGCACUGAUAAUAGCACAUUGCCUAGAAAAUACUGGAUCCUCUUUAUGUAUCUGACAGCAGCAGCAAGAUUGACAUUUGCAUACAAAUGGAAAGACAUCCAUUGCCCGAGUAAAGAGGAUUGGAUACUUAUUGUUGGCAGAAAUGGCAAAGCUAGCAGCAUUAUUAAGAAAUAAAUUUGAAGCAUUUAAAAGGGAGUGGGGCCCUCUUCUUAUUUACCUAAAAACAUAUUAUAAAAUGGUUUUCUAUCAGGCUUUUGAGUGGUAACAAAAAUGUUUUUAAAAUGCCCUAGAGCUGACUUUCGUACGAUUUAACGGGGGGAGAACGAUUAAAUUACAGGCAAGACUUGGGUAUUGUAACUGAUACUUGUUCUAAUGAUGAGAUGGAAGUCAUCUUGUCUUUGUGUGUGUGUGUGUGUGUGUGUGUGUGUGUGUUUUCUUUCUUUCUUUUUCUUUUUUCUUUUUUGUGUGCAUGUGUGUAUCUUAUGUUGUGAAAAAUUGAAUAAAAAGUUAUUUUUUAAAAAAAAAAUUAUGAGGAAACAUCCUAAAGUUUCACACACCGCUUGUCUGAAAAACUGCAAGUCCUUCAUCACAGCGCAAAAUGUGUGAAGUUCCACAGAUUCCAUUCUGUCAUUCAAGGACUUUUGUUUCCAGUGGCCCAGAAGAGAACAGAAAAGGGGCUAUCUAUUUGGGCUUUUCUUGCCUUGGUAUUGAUAUUAAUGCCAAAAUUUUUUUUAGUAAUUUGACAAUUAGUUCACCACUUAACAGAAAAGAAAUGAAAGGCAGAAAGUAGUUUAACUAGAUUAUAAUGUAGCUCUGACAAGUCAGGUUCCUGUCAUGU